rnacentral:rRNA from 1 species
UCGCCUGUUUAUCAAAAACAUGGUUUCUUGAAUUUUUUAAGAGAUUUGACCUGCCCACUGAUUAUUAAGUUUGAAGGGCCGCAGUAUUUUGACUGUGCAAAGGUAGCAUAAUCAUUAGUCUCUUAAUUAGGGGCUGGAAUGAAUGGUUGGACGAGGUAAUGACUGUUUUAUGUUGAAUUAUUGAAUUUAGAAUUUAAGUAAAAAGACUUAAAUAGUAUUAAGGGACGAGAAGACCCUAUAGAGUUUAAUAUGAUUUAAUUAUAAUUAUGUUAUUAUGAAAUUUUUAAUUUUUAUGAUUUGUAUUUGAUUGGGGUGAUUGAUAAAUAAUAAAAACUUUUUUUUGAGUUGAAUAAUAAUUUUUAGUUUAAUGAUCUGUAUAUUGCGAUUGUAAGAUUAAAUUACCUUAGGGAUAACAGCAUAAUUUUCUUUGAGAGUUCAUAUUGAGAAGAAGGAUUGUGACCUCGAUGUUGGAUUAAGAUAAAUAAUAGGUGUAGGUGCUUAUAUUUAAAUUAGGUCUGUUCGACCUUUAAAAUCUUACAUGAUCUGAGUUCAAACCGGAGA